GAGUUUGAUCGUGGCUCAGAUUGAACGCUGGCGGCGGUGACUUAACACAUGCAAGUCGGAGCGGUAACAGGACGUAGCUAAUUACGUGCUGACGAGCGGCGAACGGUGAGUAAUGCUUCGGAAUCUUCCCGGUGGGUGGGGAAUAACUUGGGGAAACUCAAGCUAAUACCGCAUACGACCCUACGGGUGAAAGCGAGGGGAUCGCAAGACCUUGCGCCAUUGGAUGAGCCGAAGUCGGAUUAGCUAGUUGGUGGGGUAACGGCCUACCAAGGCGACGAUCCGUAGCUGGUCUGAGGAGGAUGAUCAGCCACACUGGAACUGAGACACGGUCCAGACUCCUACGGGAGGCAGCAGUGGGGAAUAUUGGACAAUGGCGCAAGGCCUGAUCCAGCCAUGCCGCGUGGGUGAAGAAGGCC
rnacentral:rRNA from 1 species